GGCAAAUCACUAGCACAAACUGUGACAAGAAAAUGUCUUCAAAAUUGAUCGUUUUGUUAGUUGUUUUCUCCCUCCAAUGCCUCUUGGCAUUGGCUUCAGACCCAGACCCAGUUCAAGAUUUUUGCAUACCCAACCCUAAGUAUGGUGCCAUAAGAACUGCUAGGUUCACUAUCCUCUCAUGCAAAAAUUCCUCUGAAGCAACCACCGAUGAUUUUGUCUUCUCCGGCAUGAAAACCGCUGGCAACUUCUCAGAGACAGGCCUUGCAACCAUUCCUGUGAACCCAGCAAAUUUUCCUGGCCUUAACACACUAGGCAUGUCAUUUGUCCGAGCUGACCUUAAAGUUGGUGCUAUUAAUCCACCACAUUUUCACCCUAGGGCAACCGAGAUCACUCACGUGGUGCAAGGAAGUGUUUAUUUAGGUUUUGUUGAUUCUAACAAUAGGGUUUAUGCUAGAGUUCUUGAGCAAGGAGAGGUCAUGGUUUUCCCUAGAGGCCUAGUGCACUUCCAAAUGAACGUUGGUGAGGAGCCUGCUACAGUUUUUGGAAGUUUCAAUAGCCAAAACCCAGGAAACCAAAAGAUCCCAGCUGCCAUUUUCGGUUCUGGGAUAGAUGAUAAGCUCUUGGAAAAGGCUUUUGGAUUGAGUCCUAAGCAAAUUGAAAUGAUGAGAAGAAGGUUUGAUCCCAAAAGGCUUAGUUGAGGUUGAGGGAUAAAACAUAAGGUUAUUUUGGUCAGCUUCCUAAAUUAUGAAAUCAUGUUCUUUCGUCUGUCCUACAUAUGAAAUCAUGGCCUUUUCUUGGAGUCAAUGGUAGUUUAAAAUAUCAACUGUUGUUUGGUUGUUUUAUGAAUAACUCUAUUUUCUAUAAGCUCCUUUUUUCCUGCUAUCCUUGCACUUGCAGCAUUAAUCCACUCAUACAAGAGUGAUAAUUAACAGUUUUGCUUAUGGCACAUUUGACAUACACAGGUGGCAAAUUUUCAUGGUAUGUUGUGCAUAUAAAGUGACAUGCCAUUGAUUAUACGAACAAAGGAUGUGCAAACUGUAAAGUAAACUUCAUAAAGUAAUCAUGAGGCAAUUUGCCAUCAUAUUUCCCAGUCCCACCACCGUUGCAG
rnacentral:misc_RNA from 1 species